rnacentral:rRNA from 1 species
AUUGAACGCUGGCGGCAUGCCUUACACAUGCAAGUCGAACGGCAGCACGGGAGCAAUCCUGGUGGCGAGUGGCGAACGGGUGAGUAAUAUAUCGGAACGUGCCCAGUCGUGGGGGAUAACGUAGCGAAAGCUACGCUAAUACCGCAUACGAUCUAUGGAUGAAAGCGGGGGAUCGCAAGACCUCGCGCGAUUGGAGCGGCCGAUAUCAGAUUAGGUAGUUGGUGAGGUAAAGGCUCACCAAGCCAACGAUCUGUAGCUGGUCUGAGAGGACGACCAGCCACACUGGAACUGAGACACGGUCCAGACUCCUACGGGAGGCAGCAGUGGGGAAUUUUGGACAAUGGGCGCAAGCCUGAUCCAGCAAUGCCGCGUGCAGGAUGAAGGCCUCGGGUUGUAAACUGCUUUGUACGGAACGAAACGGUGAGCUCUAAUACAGUUUGCUAAUGACGGUACCGUAAGAAUAAGCACCGGCUAACUACGUG